UGUAUCUAUGUAUGUAUGUAUGUAUGUAUGUAUGUAUGUAUGUAUGAAUGUAUGUAUGUAUGUAUGUAUACGUGUAUAUGUGUGUAUGUGUAUAUGUGUUUAUGCUUGUAUGCGUAUGUGCAUAUUGAUAAGCCUUUAUACCAAAAUAGAUUGUACAGAUUUAUUAUAAAAGUGUUUUUUUUUUUGUCAAUAAUUUUAUUUUAGACGGAAAAAAAAAAUGAAACUGCAUUAUAAGUAUUUGUUAAAAAAGAUCAACAUUUAUCUAUAUGAUAAAGAUCAAUAGUAUAAAACUAAAAAAAAAAAAAACAUCCUAUUUAUUUAUACUUUAUUGUUAGCAAAUAAGAUCAAAGAGUAUAUUUGGCCUGAGUACAAUAAAGAUUUCAUUGUUUGCCCUCACAUAAUAUGUUCAAAUUGUAGGAGAAACAUAUUUUUGCUGGGGAAGGGAUCAAGUACUUAUCUGUCAAACUGGAUGAAUAAAGUAUCUCAAGUACAGGGUUGACAAGCCAAGAAUUAGACGCAGUACUGAACUUAGUGAUAUUGUUCAACCAUCUCGUGGUAACUAGCUGUAAAAUCUCCAAAAGAAAAUAUAUGUAGUUGCUGCUUUUCUCUCCUUGUUAGAGGUUUACAAACAAGCUUUUCUCUCCUUGCAAGAGGUUACAAACAAGCUUUUCUCUCCUUGCAAGAGGAGGUCAGAACAAUUGUAGUUCUGGUCAGGCUGUUUUAAACCUAAUUAAUUUGUCAGAAAACCUUGAUUCCACAUCAUGUGAACAAGUUGCUUCAGGCAUUAUUAAAAACAAGAUGAAGCGAGAAGGCAUAGAGAGAGGCCAAUUCUUUAAAUUAUCUACAGGCUGCUAAGUUUUUUAUUUUCAUUAUAAAAUUGUUAAUAAAAGUUCUAAAUAACCAUAUAGUCUAUAUUAUAUAUUAUAAAACUUAAAGGCACACAAAAAUAGAUAUGAGUCAUAUAAUUUAACAAUUAUAUUUUGAUUGCUAUUUUUUUGAAAUAUUUGUGUUUUAACUUUAGUUAUGGUAAAAAAAUAUAUUUAAUUUAGUUAUA
rnacentral:misc_RNA from 1 species